rnacentral:rRNA from 1 species
AUCGAACGCUGGCGGCAGGCCUAACACAUGCAAGUCGAGCGGAGCGGCGGACGGGCGAGUAAUGCCUAGGAAUCUGCCUGGCAGUGGGGGAUAACGUCCGGAAACGGGCGCUAAUACCGCAUACUCUCAGCUGAGCCUAGGUCGGAUUAGCUAGUUGGUGGGGUAAAGGCCUACCAGGGCGACGAUCCGUAACUGGUCUGAUUGGAUGAUCAGUCACACUGGAACGGAGACACGGUCCAGACGCCUACGGGAGGCGGCAGUGGGGAAUAGUGGGCAAUGGGCGAAAGUCUGACACAGCCAUGCCGCGUGUGUGGAGUAGGUCUUCGGUGUGUAAUGAACUUGAUGUUGGGAGGCGUUACCAGCAGAAUAAGCACCGGCUAAAUACGUGCCAGCAGCCGCGGUAAUAC